rnacentral:misc_RNA from 1 species
AAGGGCUUUGCCUUUAUAAUAUAUUGUUGAAAUUGACGGGAGAUUUCGCUUUUGCUGCUGUGGGUUUGCAUUGAGAGAGAAAGAUGGUACGAGUGGUUCUAAGGUAUUUUUGCUUCCUCGUCUUUUCCUUUCCACAAGGACCCUUUUCCUUUUCCCUCGUUUUGGAGGCUUUAGUUUGGAACCAUGGACCAUUUUGGAGGUUCUUUGAUUGU